rnacentral:rRNA from 1 species
CGCCUGUUUAACAAAAACAUUUCUUUUUGAUUAUUUAAAAGGUAUCUUCUGCCCUAUGAAUGAUUUUAAAUGGCUGCAGUAUUUUGACUGUGCAAAGGUAGCAUAGUAAUUAGUUUCUUAAUUAGGAGCUUGAAUGAAUGGAUGGAUGAAAUGUAUAUUUUAUUGAUUUUUUAAUUAAAAAUUUAAAUUUGAGUAAAAAUGCUUAAGUAAUUUUUUGGGACGAUAAGACCCUAUAGACUUUAUAUUAAUUUUGUUAUUUGGUUUUUAAUAUAUUAAUUCUGUUAACAUACUUAAUGUUUUGCUGGGGUGGUGAGUAAAUUUUAACUUUAUUUUACUAAGUCAAUUCUUAUUGUUAUUUUAGAUCUUUAUUAGGAAUUAUAAGAAUAAGUUACCUUAGGGAUAACAGCGUAAUCUUAAUGGAAAGUUCAUAUUAUAUUAAGGGUUGCGACCUCGAUGUUGAAUUAAGAUUAAUUAAAGAAGCAGUUUUCUUUACCAUUAGGUCUGUUCGACCUUUAAAUUCUUACCUUGAUCUGAGUUCAGACCGG